GAUGAACGCUGGCUGCGUGCCUAAUACAUGCAAGUCGAGCGAACGGACGAGAAGCUUGCUUCUCUGAUGUUAGCGGCGGACGGGUGAGUAACACGUGGAUAACCUACCUAUAAGACUGGGAUAACUUCGGGAAACCGGAGCUAAUACCGGAUAAUAUUUUGAACCGCAUGGUUCAAAAGUAAAAGACGGUCUUGCUGUCACUUAUAGAUGGAUCCGCGCUGCAUUAGCUAGUUGGUAAGGUAACGGCUUACCAAGGCAACGAUGCAUAGCCGACCUGAGAGGGUGAUCGGCCACACUGGAACUGAGACACGGUCCAGACUCCUACGGGAGGCAGCAGUAGGGAAUCUUCCGCAAUGGGCGAAAGCCUGACGGAGCAACGCCGCGUGAGUGAUGAAGGUCUUCGGAUCGUAAAACUCUGUUAUUAGGGAAGAACAUAUGUGUAAGUAACUGUGCACAUCUUGACGGUACCUAAUCAGAAAGCCACGGCUAACUACGUG
rnacentral:rRNA from 1 species